GCCUUGGUAGCUCAGUUGGCUAGAGCGCCGGAUUCAUAACCCGGAGGUCGGGAGUUCAAGUCUCCCCCGAGGCA
rnacentral:tRNA from 1 species